GAUGAAGAACGUAGCGAAAUGCGAUAAGUAGUGUGAAUUGCAGAAUUCAGUGAAUCAUCGAAUCUUUGAACGCACAUUGCGCCCCUUGUAUUCCAUGGGGCAUGCCUGUUCGAGCGUCAUUUGUACCUUCAAGCUUUGCUUGGUGUUGGGUGUUUGUCCUGAGGGACUCGCCUUAAAGUAAUUGGCAGCCAGUGUUUGGUUUUGAAGCGCAGCACAAGUCGCGAUUCAAAGCUAUACGCCCGCUUCCACAAGCCUUUUUCACUUUUGACCUCGGAUCAGGUAGGGAUACCCGCUGAACUUAAGCAUAUCAAUAAGCGGAGGA
rnacentral:misc_RNA from 1 species